rnacentral:rRNA from 1 species
GACGAACGCUGGCGGCGUGCUUAACACAUGCAAGUCGAACGGAAAGGCCCAGCCUUGGUGGGGUGCUCGAGUGGCGAACGGGUGAGUAACACGUGAGUAACCUGCCCUGGACUUUGGGAUAACUUUAGGAAACUGGGGCUAAUACCGGAUAGGAGCUCCUGCUGGAUGGUGGGGGGUGGAGAGUUUCGGCGGGUGGGGAGGGACUCGCGGCUUAUCAGCUUGUUGGUGGGGUAGUGGCUUACCAAGGCUUCGACGGGUCGCCGGCCGGAGGGGGUGACCGGCCACAUUGGGACUGAGAUACGGCCCGGACUCCUACGGGAGGCAGCAGUGGGGAAUAUUGCACAAUGGGCGGAAGCCUGAUGCGGGAACGCCGCGUGCGGGAUGACGGCCUUCGGGUUGUAAACCGCUUUCGCCUGUGACGAAGCGUGUGUGACGGUAAUGGGUGAAGAAGCACCGGCUAACUACGUG